AGAAGUUUGAUUCCUGGUCUCAGAUUGGAACGCUGGCGGCAUUGCUUAACACAUGCAAGUCGAAACGGUACCAGACCCUUUGGGGGUGCUGACGAGUGGCGGACGGGUGAGUAACACAUAGGAAAUCGACCCAGCCGUGGGGGGAUAACCUGGGGAAACUCAGGCUAAUACCGCAUACGCUGUGAGCAGGAAAAGCGGGGGACCUUAUGGCCUCGCGCGGGUGGCCGAGCUAUGUCGGAUUAGCUAGUUGAUAGGGUAAGGGCCUACCAAGGCGACGAUCCGUAGCGGGUCUGAGAGGAUGACCCGCCACACUGGGACUGAGACACGGCCCAGACUCCUACGGGAGGCCGCAGUGGGGAAUCUUGGACAAUGGGCGCAAGCCUGAUCCAGCAAUGCCGCGUGGGUGAAGACGGCCUGCGGGUUGUAAAGCCCUUUUGGUGGGGAGGAAAGCCCUGAGUUGAACAGGCUCAGGGGGUGACGGUACCCGCCGAAGAAGCACCGGCCAACUCCGUGCCAGCAGCCGCGGUAAGACGGAGGGUGCGAGCGUUAAUCGGAAUUACUGGGCGUAAAGCGCACGUAGGCGGUGGUGUCAGUCCGUUGUGAAAGCCCCGGGCUUAACCUGGGAAUGGCAAGGGCGACGGCAGCACUGGAGUGUAACAGAGGACCGUGGAAUUCCCGGUGUAGCGGUGAAAUGCGUAGAGAUCGGGAAGAACACCGAUGGCGAAGGCAGCGGUUUGGGUUAACACUGACGCUCAGGGGCGACAGCGUGGGGAGCAAACAGGAUUAGAUACCCUGGUAGUCCACGCCGUAAACGAUGAGAACUAGACGCUGGGCAGGUCACUGCUCGGUGUCGCAGCUAACGCGUGAAGUUCUCCGCCUGGGGAGUACGGCCGCAAGGUUGAAACUCAAAUGAAUUGACGG
rnacentral:rRNA from 1 species